rnacentral:misc_RNA from 1 species
AUGCACCACCCAAAAUCCUAACACUUGGAGUGCAAACGAACCCUAGGGCACAGAAAUUACAGUCUCUUCAAAUGAAUGAUUAUAAAACACUAUAAUACAUAAAUGAUACUCCAAUACAAGAGAUUAACCGUUACAAAUCUCACAAAAACUUUAGAUUGGGAUACACAGAAAGCAAUCACAACACACAGACAGAUUCCAAAACAAACAAACAAACAAACAAACAAACCCACCCUAGUAAAAAUGGAGAUCAGAUUAGCAAACGAGCUUGAAACAAAUAGAACAAAUUACACAAACUGCGAGAGAGAGAGAGAGAGAGAUUAUAAACAAGCAUUUCUGCCACAAACGAUAAAAAUCAAAUACCCAGAAAGAAACAGAGACCAAAAGACGAAAUUUAGCUUGUUGGGAUGCGAGUAACAGGAAUAUCAGGGAACUUUUCCUGGAAAAUCAGACGCGAAUUCUGUCUGAGAAUGGUGUUAGAUCUUUCUUUCCCUUAAAUUAUAAAAAAUGUGAAACAAACACAAGUGAGAUAACACAGAGAAUCUUCAGCUUUUACACACAGAAAGCGAUCCAAUUCAUCAAAUCACAUGCUCAUCCAUCAUCAUCUCACCUCCCUCUAUAUAUAUAUAUAUAUACACUCUUCCCUGUACCUCUAGAAGAGAAGCUGCUUGGAAAUAUGGGUGUGCCCAUACUGGGUUUUUCACCUAUUUUAUUACCAUAACUGUCUGGUUUUUCAUUGUCUACUUCGCUUUGUUUCUGUUCUUCUUUCCUUUGUUGUACUUCUGGACUAAAUUGUCCAUCCUGAGGCUUACGUGUCAAUGUACAAUAUGUUCAAAGGGAGGAAUUUAGAUAAGUGUGGUGGAGG